GAUGAACGCUAGCGAUAGGCUUAACACAUGCAAGUCGAGGGGCAGCAUGGUCUUAGCUUGCUAAGACUGAUGGCGACCGGCGCACGGGUGCGUAACGCGUAUGCAACUUGCCUCACAGAGGGGGAUAACCCGUCGAAAGACGGACUAAUACCGCGUACACUUGGGAUAGGGCAUCCUGACCCAAGGAAAUGAAAUUCGCUGUGAGAUAGGCAUGCGUCCCAUUAGCUAGUUGGUGAGGUAACGGCUCACCAAGGCGACGAUGGGUAGGGGAACUGAGAGGUUGAACCCCCACACUGGUACUGAGACACGGACCAGACUCCUACGGGAGGCAGCAGUGAGGAAUAUUGGUCAAUGGGAGAGAGCCUGAACCAGCCAAGUCGCGUGAAGGAUGACUGUCUUAUGGAUUGUAAACUUCUUUUAUACGGGAAUAACAAGAGCCACGUGUGGCUCCCUGCAUGUACCGUAUGAAUAAGCAUCGGCUAACUCCGUG
rnacentral:rRNA from 1 species